UAGUCCACCACCGCGUGCUCUACGGCUGCCGCCGCUACCUCGCGUCACCGCCGACGCCUCAAUCCCGCCCCACGCCUCCCCCUGCCCCCGUCGCCCCCAGCACCACGCGGCACCCAAAACACCCCAGCCUCUAACGCGUGUCGCUGCCAUCGCCGUUACCGCCCUUCCUCGUCGCGACAUCGCGUUCCUGCCAUCUCCACCCGGUCUGCAAUUCUUGGCCAUUAGGUUUUGAGUAACACUGGACAGAAAUGGAGAAUGUGCAGUAUGCCGAAGAACUCGUGAGGGAGUUUCUUGUCUUCAGGGGUUUCACGAACACGCUGCAAGCUUACGAGGCAGAAUUGUCCACCGAGAUCGGCAGGAACUUUGAAGUAGACAAGAUCCUAGAUUUAGUGUUCUCAGUGUACAUACCAAAAUACCAACUGGAUAGACUGCUAAGCAUCUUCAGCUUUUUAAAACAGUGUUUCACUUCACCUGCGGACACGGUACUCUACACGGCGCUUCUUAAACUGGAGCAGUCAGUAUUACGCUAUUAUGUUGUCAAUGCCUUGAAAUCUGGAAGGCAAGAAAAAGUUGUUGAAUUCUUUAGCGCAAGCGGCAGUUAUCUGAUGCAAAAGCGUGAAGAUUGGAUAGCAUGGUUUGCUAUACCAUAUAUUAAGAACCCAAGCUUGGAUCCACAGUUCCGUAUGUAUUUUUCCAAAGAAUGGUCAGACACUUUGGUUCUUUCAUUUCGGAACUUCUUAAGUGGGAUAUUCAAUGGUACUCAUAUCCUUUUACAGCAAUCGUAUUCAAUUGUGCUCAAGUUAGCAGGAUGCUUUUCAUCUUUCCUAAUACACAAACUUCUUAUCAGAUUUAUAAUUUACUCGCAUUCUUGUUGACCGCCAAACUAAAAUUAUGGUUUGCUUAAACACUGUUUUAUCCUUAAGUUUCCACGAAUCCCAGCUCUUUUGAAGAUUAGCACUGAAAAAAACAUGAUCAAGUGCCUCAAGAGUGACAUAAAGCAACUGAAUAACAAAUUGUCAGAACUGCAAGCAUUGUUAGAGGUGAAGGAAGUUGAACUAUCUCUGCUGAGAAGGAGUGGUAAUAGUAUUGAUUCUGGACACAAGAAUUUACUCAAGAUUACUACAGCUGGUUCUUCCGCUGAUGGACAAGCUUCCUCAGGAGUCUACGAAGAAUCCUCAACUUCAAGUAUACAGGGUGUUGACUCACAUACUUUGAGUUCAGUAAAAUCAAGAGAUGAGAAAUUGUGCGAUUCUUCUUGGAUGAGCAAUGCAGAAAAUGAGCAGAUUUUGGUGACAGAGGAAGAUUUUCCUGAAGUGAAGGUGGAUUUUCAGGAAACAUUUUUAGGCCAUAACAGUUCCAUAAGUAGCUGUCGGUUUUCUGCUUCUGGAUCAAAUAUUGCCAGUUCUUCGACUGAUGGCACAGUGAGAAUUUGGACAUACGACUCAUCAACACCAUCAUCAAAAAAUGCAACUAUAUACUGUGGAGCUGAAGUCAGAGCACUUUCUUGGGAAUGCAGAUCUGACCGCUUGCUAAUGGAGGCAUUAAAGCUUGGAAUGCUGAUGCAAAGAGAGUUGUUUGUGACCUCAGUACAUCCAAGGACUUCCCAAGUGUGCUUGAUUUGAAGUGUAGCCCUGUAGAUCCCGUGUUCGUCUCCGCAGCUGCAUCGAGACGGCAUGGAUCAACUAUAUUUGACAGAACAGGAUUUGCCUCCUUGACAGUAUGGCAUAUGAAAACAUGGAAGCCUCUGACAGUCCUCCCUCUUGGCGAGGAUCCACCUGCUAUUACUUCACUUUGCUUCAAUCACAAUGGGAAGAUCUUGGCAGCCUCUGCAACAGAUGGCAUGAUUCACAUGUUUGACAUGUCUGCUGGUCUACAAAUCACCGGAUGGCCUGCUCAUGAUUCCCCUGUCAGCUCAGUUCUUUUUGGGCCAGCUGAAACAAGCAUCUUCAGUUUAGGCUCAGAUGGAAAGAUAUUUGAGUGGAGCUUGCACAAUCAAGGUCAGAUUAUUUGGUCAAGAGAUUGCAGUAGGUUUUGUAACCCUGAGAGCUUUAACAAACACAUGCAUGAGGUAGCGUUGGAUUCUAAUGGCAAGAGACUUCUUGCUUCUUCGGGUUUGGUUCGGGCUCCAAUAUACCAGGUGCAAGGCCAUGAGAGAGGGUUGAGGACACUUCCUCAUACUGCACCUAUAACAAGUGUGGACUGGCACCCCACGCGGCCAAUCUAUGUUACUGGUUCUGAAGACCACUCUGUCCGCGUCACAUCCAUUCUAUGAUAUUCUAUGUUGAGCAGUUUGCCCUUGAGAUUUUGUUGAUUGUCCAGUUCCAUGGAGUGCUGCUCCGUGGAGUGACCUCCAAGAGAUGAACCAGUUCCAUGGAUCCUCAUGAUAUUCCUGAUUAUCUCAUCCAGAUAGAUCCUUUUCCGUUGGAAAACUGGGUCAUGUUUGUGUUUGUAGACUUGGCAAGCCGGUGAAACUAUGUUGUAAAAACGGGUGAAAACAUCUGUGAUCUCUUUACAUGGUAGGAGCCUAGGAUCUUUACAGCAGGUUUCUCCCAUUCUCAUCAAAAGAAUUAGGGAUCAAUCCAUGCCUGGCACCAGUUUUUUUAUGAUGUAUUGCUGGUUUCUGAAGGAAAAAUGAUGUGUUGCUGUUUGAUUAGCAAAUAUUGUCCUAUCAGUUGAUGGUUUGGGGCCAA